ensembl:lncRNA
CAGGUAGACCAGCUGUCUACAGUACAUGUAAUAUUCGUCUGAUCCUACCCCCGGACAAUACCUAAUAAGUCCCUCAAACACAAUCCCAUUCCCAAGCCACACUUUAAUAUCUAACACUACCCCCAUCCGGGUUUAUUGUCCAGUACACUGACUUUAUGCCUGUGUUACAUUGACUGGGAGAGCCCUGUGUUGUCUGUGGCUUCUUUGGGUACAAACAAUAAGAGCUUCAAACUCCACUCCAGCAUUGUCUCUAUGUGCCUGAUCAGUAGGAUGUUCACGCUGAGAUUUAGAGGUAACACACAGACAAUAAGCAGACACACAAACCCUGUCAUUACGUUUACCCCCAGGCAGGGAAAGCCCCACUGCCCCAUCCCACACUGGCUCCUGUAGGUAGAGCCUGUGUGUUCCUCCACGGUAGUGCUGAGAGGCAUGUCUCCUAGGCCUUUUGUCUCUCUGUGUUCCUCUAGGAUGUCUGCUGACAAACACUCCAACGAUAAGAGGACAGAGUAUCCAUGGUGAGCCAGUGAUAGCUGUAUGUUGUUCCCGGAACAUGGGCUGUGAAGGGAGCAUCUGGACCGUGUUGUCUCUGGGUCAACAGACUGUGUGUCUGGCACCGCUGACGUGGCAGGGUUUACAGUCAUGCAUGGUGCAGCGAAUGUUUGUGCGGGCAGUUCAAUGUCAGUGCCAUGUUCCCCCUUGUGUGUCGUUGAGUGCGUGUCCAUCUCUGUGUGGGCCAGGUGUCGUCUGAGCAGAGAACCCACACCAGCAGACAGCAGAGGAAGUAAAUGAUGUGGGGCAGGCACUUUUCCUGGUCCUCUCUCCCUCCUCUCUGGCUGUCUGUGUCCCUGCUCUGCCCGUCCUCUACCUCCACUGUCACCCCAUGGUGAUGUGCAGGAGCUUUAGAGCCCGGAGUUUUACUACGUCCGCCUGUGUCCCCGUCCACUGCUCUACCUCUGCCACCAUGGACCUGGGGCCACUGCAACUUCAUGGCAGUCUCCACGGCAACAAGAGGAGUGGUCAUCAGCAGCACCGCCCAGUAGGUGUGGCUGAGGAAGAGCAGGAAGCGCAGGGCAAUGACA